GGGGAGACUUAACUGCAGUCGAGGGGCAGCGGGGAGGUACAAUACUUCCGCCGGCGACCGGCGCACGGGUGAGUCCUUUUAUGGAACCUGCCCGUAGCAGGGGGGAUAAGCGGAACACUUUCCGUCUAAUACCGCGUAAUAACUCCGAGAGGCAUCUCAUGGGGUUUAAAGGGUGACACCGGCUACGGAUGGCCAUGCGGCGCAUUAACUAGUUGGCGGGGUAACGGCCCACCAAGGCGACGAUGCGUAUGGGUUCUGAGAGGAAGGUCCCCCACACUGGUACUGAGACACGGACCAGACUCCUACGGGAGGCAGCAGUGAGGAAUAUUGGUCGAUGGGCGCGAGCCUGAACCAGCCAAGUCGCGUGAGGGAAGACGGUCCUAUGGAUUGUAAACCUCUUUUGUCUGGGAGCAAAAGACGCCACGUGUGGCGUUCCGAGAGUACCCGAAGAAAAAGCAUCGGCUAACUCCGUGCCAGCAGCCGCGGUAAUACGGAGGAUGCGAGCGUUAUCCGGAUUUAUUGGGUUUAAAGGGUGCGCAUGCGGAAGAUCAAGUCAGCGGUAAAAUUGAGAGGCUCAACCUCUUCGAGCCGUUGAAACUGGUUUUCUUGAGUGAGCGAGAAGUAUGCGGAAUGCGUGGUGUAGCGGUGAAAUGCAUAAAU
rnacentral:rRNA from 1 species